rnacentral:rRNA from 1 species
GACGAACGCUGGCGGCGUGCUUAACACAUGCAAGUCGAACGGAAAGGCCCUGCUUUUGUGGGGUGCUCGAGUGGCGAACGGGUGAGUAACACGUGAGUAACCUGCCCUUGACUUUGGGAUAACUUCAGGAAACUGGGGCUAAUACCGGAUAGGAGCUCCUGCUGCAUGGUGGGGGUUGGAAAGUUUCGGCGGUUGGGGAUGGACUCGCGUCUUAUCAGCUUGUUGGUGGGGUAGUGGCUUACCAAGGCUUUGACGGGUAGCCGGCCUGAGAGGGUGACCGGCGACAUUGGGACUGAGAUACGGCCCAGACUCCUACGGGAGGCAGCAGUGGGGAAUAUUGCACAAUGGGCGGAAGCCUGAUGCAGCAACGCCGCGUGCGGGAUGACGGCCUUCGGGUUGUAAACCGCUUUCGCCUGUGACGAAGCGUGAGUGACGGUAAUGGGUAAAGAAGCACCGGCUAACUACGUG